UAUACAAGGACAUACACUUGCUUACAGGGGGGCAUUACAGGGGCUGGGAGAUAUUUCCUCGGCCAGGGCACAUAGGAAUACAUGGCACACUGGGUUACAGGGGGCAGGGUACGGAUGUGUUUGCCAGGGGAGAGAGGAGUGUGAGGAAGGGAUACUGACAGGGAUGAAAUUCUAGGGUACAGGGUGACAGGGAAGGGCUAGGAAACGGGGCAUACUGGAUUACAGGGGGCAGGGUACGGAGGUGUUUGCCAGGGGAGAGAGGAGUGUGAGGAAGGGUUACCGAUACAGGGAUGGAAAACAGGGUAGAAUUCUAGGGUACAGGGUGACAGGGAGGGGCAUACUGGGUUACAGGGGGCAGGGUACGGAUGUGUUUGCCAGGGGAUAGGGUCGUGUGAAGAAGAGUUAUCGAUACAGGGAUGGAAAACAGGGUAGAAUUCUAGGGUACAGGGUGACAGGGACCAAGACAGAGAAGAUUAGGUUAGUGUGACUUAUUCAAAAGUUAUGCAAUGGGAGUUUAAGUAGAGGGAAAUAUUAACUUUAAAUGGAAAAAUUGAAAGGGGAGAGAGAGAUUGAGAGCGCUUCUGUGGACAUACUAACAGACAAAAGCAAUUUCCAAGACACAUAAGAUUAGGGAACUCUGGCUUAUUGAAAAGUUAUGCAAUGGGAGUUUAGGUAGAGGGAAUUAUUAUCUUUAAAAGGAAAAACAGGAAGGGAAAAAAGAGCUGGAAAAACUGAUAGAUAGAUAGAUUUCCAAGACAAAGAAGAGAAGGAUAUUUUGGCUUAUAGGACAAUAAUGAAAGGUGAGUUUGAGUAGAGGGAAAUAUCAUCUUUAAAAAGGAAAAACAGGAAGGGAAAAAAGAGAUGGAAAGACUGACAGAAAGAUAGAUUUCCAAAACAAAGAAGAGAAGGAUAUUUUGGCUUAUAGGAAAAUAAUGAAAGGCGAGUUUGAGUAGAGGGAAAUAUCAUCUUUAAAAAGGAAAAACAGGAAGGGAAAAAGAGCUGGAAAAACUGAUAGAUAGAGAGAUUUCCAAGACAAAGAUUAGGUUAGUUCAGUUUACAGGGAAAUAACGCAAUGGGACUUAAAUCACAUAACAGGAAACAUUAACAAGGAGAUAAAACCGGGACAAAACGAAGGUGCUGAAGAGGAGAAUGGAAGACAGCUUGUGGGUUUGGAUCCUACAGAAGACCCUCUAGAGAAGAAAGUAUAGAGGAUUGGAAACUACAUGAGAGGGAUCCAGUCUUAUGCGGGUUACACACUCAAAUGCAGCGCCUUAGAGUAGUUAGGUCACACACUAAGUAGAUAAAAAUCACAUCCGGUGAAAGACUCAUGAAUCACUCGCUACUGGUGCGCCACUCACUCACUCAUCAAGGCUAACGUGAAACUCAUUAAGGUCUAGGUGGUAAGAAUUACGUAUUAUUGUCUACCCGAAAAAAUAUCAAACUAAGGAAUAAAUUAAGUUAGAGAAUGUUAUGAGGAUAGACUAAAAAAUAUUGUUGUCUACCCCGAAAAAUGUUAAAAUUAGGAAUAAGUUAGAGAAUGUUAUAAGGAUAGACUAAAAAACAUUGUUGUCUACCCCGAAAAAUGUCAAACUAAGGAAUAAGUUAGAGAAUGUUAAAAGGAUAGACUAAAAAAUAUUGCUGUCUACCCCGAAAAAUGUUAAACUAAGGAAUAAGUUAGAGAAUGUUAAAAGGAUAGACUAAAAAAUAUUGUUGUCUACCCCGAAAAAUGUUAAACUAAGGAAUAAGUUAGAGAAUGUUAAAAGGAUAGACUAAAAAAUAUUAUUGUCUACCCGAAAAAUGUCAAACUAAGGAAUAAAUUAAGUUAGAGAAUGUUAAAAGGAUAGACUAAAAAAUAUUGUUGUCUACCCCAAAAAAUGUUAAAAUUAGGAAUAAGUUAGAGAAUGUUAUAAGGAUAGACUAAAAAAUAUUGUUGUCUACCCCAAAAAAUGUUAAAAUUAGGAAUAAGUUAGAGAAUGUUAUAAGGAUAGACUAAAAAAUGUUGUUGUCUAUCCCGAAAAAUGUCAAACUAAGGAAGAAGUUAGAGAAUGUUAAAAGGAAAGACUAAAAUAUAUUGUUGUCUACCCCGAAAAAUGUCAAACUAAGGAAUAAAUUAAGUUAGAGAAUGUUAUAAGGAUAGACUAAAAAAUAUUGUUGUCUACCCCGAAAAAUGUUAAACUAAGGAAUAAGUUAGAGAAUGUUAAAAGGAUAGACUAAAAAAAUAUUGUUGUCUACCCCCAAAAAAUAUCAAACUAAGGAAUAAAUUAAGUUAGAGAAUGUUAAAAGGAUAGACUAUAAAAUAUUGUUGUCUACCCCGAAAAAAUAUCAAACUAAGGAAUAAAUUAAGUUAGAGAAUGUUAAAAGGAUAGACUAUAAAAUAUUGUUGUCUACCCCGAAAAAAUAUCAAACUAAGGAAUAAAUUAAGUUAGAGAAUGUUAAAAGGAUAGACUAAAAAAUAUUGUUGUCUACCCCGAAAAAUGUCAAACUAAGGAAUAAAUUAGAGAAUGUUAAAAGGAUAGACUAAAAUAUAUUGUUGUCUACCCCAAAAAACGUUAAACUCAAGGAAAUACUGAAGUGACGGUUAUAAAUAAGGCAAGAGGUCAAAUUUUAUGACAUUGGAUGGACUAAUAAAUGUUGAACUAAAGGAAUAAAUUACUGAUAAAUGAGAAAAUGUUAUGAUUGAGACAAAAGGUAAAAAUGCAUGAUAUUGGAUAGCUUAAAAAAAUAUAAUUGUCUACCCUCCAAAAAUAUUAAAAUAAGGAAUAUAUUAAAUGAGAGAAUGUUAUGAUUUAGACAAGUGGUAAAAAUGUAUAAUUAUUGGAUAAACUAAAAAAAAUAUCUACCCCCCAAAAUACUAAAGAAAUAAAUUACCGAUAAAUGAAAUAAAUGAAUGUUGUGAUUUAAAUAAUAAGUGAAAAUGUAUAAUUAUUGGAUAAACUAAAAAAAAUAUCAUCUACCCCCAAAAAUACUAAACUAAGGAAAUAAAUUACUGAUAAAUGAAAUAAAUGAAUGUUGUGAUUUAAAUAAUAAGUGAAAAUGUAUUAAAUGGGAACUAAAAAAAUAGGACUUUGUUAAAAUAUAAACACACAAUCAUUAAUACACAGAACAAAUAAAAUAAAAUAGGAAAAUAUAUACUGCCCUAAAAUAUCAUAAAUCACACACAAAAAAAAGAAAUUAAAAGAAAAAAAAGGAGAACAAGAAAUAAAGAAAAUACAGAUAGAACAAAUAACAAAAUAAAGAGAAAUGCUGAAAAAAAAAAUAAUUAGGAACAAAAAAAAAUCACAUUAAAAAAAGGAAAAAUAAACAAGAAAACUUAAACCCACUAAAAAGAAGAUAUACAAAAAAAAUAGAUGAAUGAAUAAAUAAACAAAUAACCUCAACACAAACCAACCAAACAAAGAAACAAAUCCACAAACAACUACAACCAACAAACAAGAACAAACACACAAACACACAAUACGUACACAAACAUCUCUUUACAAACACUACACCAAAAGUCUACAAAAAAAUAUUGAUACUAAUAAACACAUUACUAUUUUACUACGACAAACCAAAAUGCUGUGAGAGUACUAGAGUAAAGGAGUUUAGGGGAGGAACAAGGGAAAGGGGGCAAGAUGGGUCAAGUUGGGUUGGUAGGGAAGACAACCAAGAACCAAGUUGACCAAGCUAGGGCAAGAUGGGGCAAGUUGGGUUGGUAGGGAAGACA